rnacentral:rRNA from 1 species
UACGGGGGGGGUAAGCGUUGUUCGGAAUUACUGGGCGUAAAGGGCUCGUAGGCGGCCAACUAAGUCGGACGUGAAAUCCCUCAGCUUAACUGGGGAACUGCGUCCGAUACUGGAUGGCUUGGAUUUGGGAGAGGGAUGCGGAAUUCCAGGUGUAGCGGUGAAAUGCGUAGAUAUCUGGGAGGAACACCUGCGGCGAAGGCGGGUUGCUGGGCUGACACUGACGCUGAUUGUGCGAAAGCUAGGGGAGCGAACGGG